UGUAAACUUCACUUUGUUUUGGUAAACAAAACUGUACUGUACUGAGUACAGUUUUCUGUCCUGUAGUAUUUUCUAUACUGCAGAACAUACUGGACCAACAGAGAAUAUAUAUAUGUACGAGGCUAUACUUUAUACUGGAAUACAAGUACUAUGUUAUUAUCUUAUACCAUACUGUAGUGUGGGCCACGUGGUCAGUGCAGUGGUUAGCCCCGGGCCUUUCUGCAUGGAGUUUACAUGUGUUCUCCCGUGUGUGUGUGUGUGUGUGUGUGUGUGUGUGUGUGUGUGUGUGUGUGUGUGUGUGUGUGUGUGUGUGUGUGGACUAAGUGGCAGAAGGACCGCCUUCACGUGUCCCUCCAGAUUCUACGGAAUUGCUUGGCGGAUUACCAUUGAACCGUUAAAACUGCCAAAUCCCAGUACAUUACCUCCCUGGUCUACAGAAACAGUCACAAACCCCAGAUUGCAGCACUCAGGCCUACUGAUACCUCUGCCACCCCACUCCCUGCCCUGCCCCUGAAGUUCUUCCGGUCCUACCUGGCCAACAGGAGCUUCUCUGUACAGCUUGGUGAUUCCAUCUCGUCUGCUGCACCCCUCACCUGCGGGGUCCCUCAAGGCUCCAUACUAGGCCCCAUUCUCUUUCUGUUGUAUGUUCUACCCCUAGGGGAAAUUCUAAUUAAACACAACAUCUCCUUCCACUGUUAUGCAGAUGAUAUCCAGCUGUAUCUCCCCCUCAGGGUUGAUGGGCAGGCUGCACUCCAUCCACUGCUUGACUGUCUGGCUGACAUCAAAGCAUGGAUGGGUGCAAACUUCCUCAACCUCAACGAGAGCAAGACUGAGAUCAUUGUUUUUGGAAAAACCUCUUCAGCCUUCUCCACUGAUGCCCUGGGCCCUCUCGCCUCUAACAUCAGGCUUUCUGUCAGAAAUCUGGGCGUGAUUUUUGACAGUGCCUUUAAGUUUGAGCAGCAGGUCAGCGCAGUAGUUCGAAAAAGCUUUUUCCACCUGAGAACUAUUGCCAAGACCAAAGCCUACCUGCCCCAGAGUGGGGCAGGUAGGCUUUGGUCUGACUGGUCUGACUGGAGAAAGUCAUCCAUGCUUUCAUAACUUCACAACUGGACUACUGCAACGCCCUAUACACCGGCAUCGACCAAUCACAACUCCGCCGCCUGCAGUUAGUUCAAAACUCAGCCGCCCGACUCCUCACUUGUACUAAGAAGCGAGAUCACAUCACCCCGGUCCUUGCAUCACUCCACUGGCUCCCCAUCCGCUACCGCACUGAUUUCAAACUUCUCCUGACUGUUUACAAAUCCCUCCAUGGUCUGGCCCCCACCUACCUGUCUGAUAUUCUCCACCACCACAUCCCUUCUAGAGCACUCCGGUCAGCUGACCAACUGUUGUUGGAAGUGCCCAGGACCAGGCUAAAAACCAGGGGGGACCGAGCCUUCGCUGUGGCAGCCCCCAGACUCUGGAACUCCCUCCCCCUACACAUCCGGGCGGCCCAGUCUUUAAAUAUUUUUAAAUCCCAGUUAAAUACACACCUUUUUUCCCUUGCCUUUGACGAGUGUCUUUUUAAAUUGUUUAACUCGGUCUUCAUCUUUUAACCCUUUUCUUUUCUCUCUUUUCUUUGUUUUUCUUUUUGUAUUUUAGCACUUAAGCACUUUCUGUGAAGCACUUUGGUUGCCGCUCAGCCGUUUGUAUAUGUGCUAUAUAAAUAAAAUUUGACUUGACUUGA